GACGAACCGUGCGAACGUUGUUCGGAAUCACUGGGCUUAAAGGGCGCGUAGGCGGGCUGUCAAGUCUGGGGUGAAAUGCCGCGGCUCAACCGUGGAACUGCCUUAGAUACUGACGGCCUCGAGGAAGGUAGGGGGAGCCGGAACUCACGGUGGAGCGGUGAAAUGCGUUGAGAUCGUGAGGAACGCCCGUGCGAAAGCGGGCUCCUGGGCCCCGCCUGACGCUGAGACGCGAAAGCCAGGGGAGCGAACGGG
rnacentral:rRNA from 1 species